CAGAGAAAUUUUUGCGAGUAAGAAUAAAUUAUACAUCGUUAGAGGCGUGCGGAAUCGUGUCGAGACUUAGCUGAAACAAGUAAAGUUAUACACGCUGAUAGGAAAUACUGAGGAGGUAUUUUAAAUUGAGUGAAGACCAGGAUGACACAAACAAAAUGAUAAAACUUUAAUUUUCUUCAGUGUCUGAUAAAAAAGCGAAUGGUAUGUGUCAGUAUCUUUUGCAGCAACCGUGCAAGGUGAUUCAUAAAUGUAUGUCCAUACUUCAGGUGAUGAAUCUACACAUUAAAAUAAAUUUUUAAAAAAAGGGCGUAUGAACGUAUGUCCUAUGUAAGUACUUUUAGUUUUCGAGAUAUGGAUUCCUCAUGUUUUAACAUACGUUACUGCACUUUUACCUUUCAGCAUCUAGAAAAUUGUAACGAGCUAGCUAGAAUAGAAUACUGGCUACCUAAAAUUUUAUUUUAUUUAUAUCAAUUGAUAUUGUUUCGCACAUGUUGCACUCUGGCUGAACAGCUUGCAAGUUGGUUACAAUAUAAACUUUGAAUUUACUCACAAGACAACUAACAAAGUUAACUUCGACGAAUAUGUUAUCUGUUUUGCUUUUAUAAUAAACAACAGAUUUACUGGA